rnacentral:rRNA from 1 species
UACGUAGGGUGCAAGCGUUGUCCGGAAUUAUUGGGCGUAAAGAGCUCGUAGGCGGUGUGUCACGUCGUUCGUGAAAACCUGCAGCUUAACUGUGGGCGUGCGGUCGAUACGGGCAUCACUGGAGUUCGGCAGGGGGAGACUGGAAUUCCUGGUGUAGCGGUGAAAAUGCGCAGAUAUCAGGGAGGGAAACACCCGGGUGGCGAAAGGCGGGGGGUCUC